rnacentral:rRNA from 1 species
AUUGAACGCUGGCGGCAUGCCUUACACAUGCAAGUCGAACGGCAGCACGGUUGCUUGCACCUGGUGCCGAGUGGCGAACGGGUGCGUAAUACAUCGGAACCUGUCUCGUAGUUGGGGAUAGCCCGGCGAAAGCCGGAUUAAUACCGCAUACGAUCAACGGAUGAAAGCGGGGGCCCUUCGGGUCUCGCGCUAUCGGGUUGGCCGAUGGCGGUUUAGCUAGUUGGUGGGGUAAAGGCCUACCAAGGCGACGAUCAGUAGCUGGUCUGAGAGGACGAUCAGCCACACUGGAACUGAGACACGGCCCAGACUCCUACGGGAGGCAGCAGUGGGGAAUUUUGGACAAUGGGCGAAAGCCUGAUCCAGCAAUGCCGCGUGGGUGAAGAAGGCCUUCGGGUUGUAAAGCACUUUUGUCGGGAAAGAAAACCUGGGCCCUAAUACGGUCGGGGGAUGACGGUACCGGAAGAAUAAGCACCGGCUAACUACGUG